AGUGAACGCUGGCGGUAGGCCUAACACAUGCAAGUCGAACGGCAGCACAGGAGAGCUUGCUCUCUGGGUGGCGAGUGGCGGACGGGUGAGGAAUACAUCGGAAUCUACUCUGUCGUGGGGGAUAACGUAGGGAAACUUACGCUAAUACCGCAUACGACCUACGGGUGAAAGCAGGGGAUCUUCGGACCUUGCGCGAUUGAAUGAGCCGAUGUCGGAUUAGCUAGUUGGCGGGGUAAAGGCCCACCAAGGCGACGAUCCGUAGCUGGUCUGAGAGGAUGAGAAGCCACACUGGAACUGAGACACGGUCCAGACGCCUACGGGAGGCAGCAGUGGGGAAUAUUGGACAGUGGGCGCAAGCCUGAUCCAGCCAUACCGCGUGGGUGAAGAAGGCCUUCGGGUUGUAAAGCCCUUUUGUUGGGAAAGAAAUCCAGCUGGCUAAUACCCGGUUGGGAUGACGGUACCCAAAGAAUAAGCACCGGCUAACUUCGUGCCAGCCGCCGCAGUAA
rnacentral:rRNA from 1 species